ensembl:lncRNA
CGGAGCCCGGCGAGCCGCCCGCCCCGCGGUGGAAGAGGCGGAAGACAGCGCCUGGGCCGCCGCGCCUGCGCACUGCCCCGCGGGGCGCACUGCGCGCCCCUGGACCGCUCGGAAGAAGCUGGGAGCGGCGCGGGCCCCUGGUCACGCCGGCGCGCCGGGGAGCGCGGGAGCGAUCGCACGUGCCCGGCUUCUGACCGCAGCGGGCUGCUGGUGUUCGCGGGCUUGGCGGAGGGUGCAACUCGGGUAGCUCUGUGAGGAGAGGGGUCCUCUCAUAAGCUGGACAGACGUGCAUUGAGCGGAGGUGGCCCGGCUGCGCCGGCUGACUGCUUCCCGAAAACUGUUGCUGCUACUGUCUGGGAAAGGUGGUACCACAGGAUCCCAGGAGAGUCUACUGGGGAUCUUUGUUCCCGUGAUCCAGGCUGAUGCAUCACUACUGGAAGUACUCACUUGGUCCUCCUUCCUCAGCCCUUAGGAAUUG